rnacentral:rRNA from 1 species
CAGUCGCCGCGGGAAUACGAAGGGGGCUAGCGUUGCUCGGAAUCACUGGGCGUAAAGGGUGCGUAGGCGGGUCUUUAAGUCAGGGGUGAAAUCCUGGAGCUCAACUCCAGAACUGCCUUUGAUACUGAAGAUCUUGAGUUCGGGAGAGGUGAGUGGAACUGCGAGUGUAGAGGUGAAAUUCGUAGAUAUUCGCAAGAACACCAGUGGCGAUGGCGGCUCACUGGCCCGAUACUGACGCUGAGGCACGAAAGCGUGGGGAGCAAACAGGAUUAGAUACCCGCGUAGUCCCUGUCUCUUAUAC